UCCGAAAUAGAAUAUCCAUCUGCAUGCAAUACCCACGAACUCUGCUUCUGCUGAAGAACUGCAACGGCUUUAUCGGACUCCUCAGCUGCUUUCCAUCUGGAGCUGCAACUUUAGAUGGAUUUCCCCGAAAACAAGUGCCCACAGAGCGGUGUGCCCUUAAUGGACAGUCGGGAGUGUGAUUUCUGGAUCUACUUCGGUGAAACUUUCUGUCACUGUGGUGAGCCUUCGUCUGCUGCGACCAUAAUC
rnacentral:lncRNA from 1 species